rnacentral:rRNA from 1 species
UACGUAGGGUGCAGGCGUUAAUCGGAAUUACUGGGCGUAAAGCGUGCGUAGGUGGUUUGUUAAGACAGGUGUGAAAUCCCCGGGCUUAACCUGGGAACUGCGCUUGUUACUGGCAGACUUGAGUGUGGCAGAGGGGGGUGGAAUUCCAGGUGUAGCAGUGAAAUGCGUAGAGAUCUGGAGGAACACCGAUGGCGAAGGCAGCCCCCUGGGCUAACACUGACACUGAUGAGCGAAAGCCAGGGGAGCAAACGGG